CACGUAGGGUCCAAGCGUUGUCCGGAUUUAUUGGGCGUAAAGAGCUCGUAGGCGGCUUGGCAAGUCGGGUGUGAAGACUCUGGGCUCAACUCAGAGACGCCACUCGACACUGCUAUGGCUUGAGUCCGGUAGGGGAGCGUGGAAUUCCCGGUGUAGCGGUGAAAUGCGCAGAUAUCGGGAGGAACACCAGUGGCGAAGGCGGCGCUCUGGGCCGGAACUGACGCUGAGGAGCGAAAGCGUGGGGAGCGAACAGG
rnacentral:rRNA from 1 species